CAGUAUAGCUGCUCGAUGUCGAACGGUAUUAGCAGAAUACAAUAUGUCUUGUGAUGAUACAGGAAAACUAAUUUUGAAACCUAGGCCUCAUGUUCAAUGACAAUCUUCACUCAUUGUUAUGGGACUUAAAAUAGCCUUUCUUCGAAUAAGUGAUACAGCAAAAAGCCAUAAAGGAUUCCUUUUGCGGUUGGAUAUGUAAAGGUCAUAGCAGCAACUGACAAGAAGUGUGCAAUAUUUACCUGGAUUAUCUUGAUGAUGGUGACUCAUUAUCAGUGCUUUGGUACUUUUGAUUACCUGUGUUUCAGUAUUAGUGUCACUUUAGUACUUCAGAUCCUGCAAAGAUUUUUGCAGAUGAAGUAUGUAUGUAUGUUACUAAGUUAAACUUAGAAACAGAACCUCAUUCAGUUUUUAUAAUGUAUUUUUGCAAACUACUGUAAAUAGCAAAUCAAUGCCAAUGUUAAACAAAGAGGAAAACGUUGUGUGGACUUUGUUCUCUUGCACCGGUAUUUCAGGAACAUCUGCUUGCCAUCCCCACAGCUCUUUAAAACUGGCUAUUAUGUGUGCCUUUCAUUCUUCCAUUUCUAAUCAUACUGCAGGAAAAACAUUGGAUUCAGCUUAGACUGAGGAAAACUCUCCAUUAUGUUGUAAGAAAUUAUAGAUGUUUUGAGAGACACUUUUUGUUAAACCAGAUAUUG
rnacentral:lncRNA from 1 species